CAAGGAAUGAACCAGCUCCUUUGGAAAAAGGAAAAAGUAUUCAGAGAAAUGCUUUGGGAAUGUGUCCUGAGAAAAUCGGAAGUUAAAUGAACAACAAUGCAAAAGUUUUCCAAAGAAGCAAACUGAGGCACACAGCAAUUAAAGCAAAAUUUUCAUGAAUGCAGAACGUCCUGGAAGACCCAACAGUCAAAUCCAGGAAUUUGGAUGCAUUUCCUUAUGUGGCAGCCGCUAUGCAGAAAUGUCCCAAAGAAUUUUGUAAACCCUGCAGAUGGGGUCAUUUUCCUAUGACUGAAAUGCAGCUGUCACUCUAUACAGACCUAGCACUAUGUAACAUGGGUGCAUGCUACCUGAAUACAAAAGGGACAUUUUAGGUAUUGUUGGCAGGGUGUAAUUACACAAUCUGGACCUGGGCCAUGUUAUAAUGCAGGGCUAACACCCUUAUUCCUGGAAAAAGUGUGGGAUCUUUAAUGGCCCUUGGUUUUAUGCUUCACCUGCAAGUAAAUGAGUGGCACCAGUGGGAGACGGAGCCAGUUACACUGACGCGAGCACUACUAAAUCUUCCUCAGAGCAGAAGCAUUUCAUACUGAUCAGUAUUAGCCGUUGACCUUGUUCAUCAGCCUAUGGAAUAAGAGCAACAUUCCUGGAAUUACCUUUCUUUCCUAACCCCUACCCGAAAGCAGGUCAGUAGCAUUAUUAGCCCAUUAUAAGUUGGACCAUCCAUGGAUGUACAGUAGUUAAGCAUAGUGACCCACCUAUAAAAAUCAGCCUUUGGUCCCAACAGCUUUAAGUUUCAUCUCUAAUAUAUGUUAACUAUACCUGCUCAGGAAAGAAAUGUAGGU